GAGACACCCAUAUGGAACAGGACUUGUUUCAGUGGGGCUUUGAUGCUCACUGAGUCAGCUCCUUGAGUGUGUUGCU
rnacentral:pre_miRNA from 1 species